rnacentral:rRNA from 1 species
UACGUAGGGUGCAAGCGUUAAUCGGAAUUACUGGGCGUAAAGCGUGCGCAGGCGGUUUUGCAAGACAGGUGUGAAAUCCCCGGGCUCAACCUGGGAACUGCAUUUGUGACUGCAAGGCUAGAAUCUGGCAGAGGGGGGUAGAAUUCCACGUGUAGCAGUGAAAUGCGUAGAUAUGUGGAGGAAUACCGAUGGCGAAGGCAGCCCCCUGGGCUAAGAUUGACGCUCAUGCACGAAAGCGUGGGGAGCAAACAGG